rnacentral:rRNA from 1 species
AACGAACGCUGGCGGCAGGCCUAACACAUGCAAGUCGAGCGGACCCUUCGGGGUUAGCGGCGGACGGGUGAGUAACGCGUGGGAAUAUGCCCUUCUCUACGGAAUAGUCCUUGGAAACUGGGGGUAAUACCGUAUACGCUCUGUGGGGGAAAGAUUUAACGGGGAAGGAUUAGCCCGCGUUGGAUUAGGUAGUUGGUGGGGUAAUGGCCUACCAAGCCGACGAUCCAUAGCUGGUUUGAGAGGAUGAUCAGCCACACUGGGACUGAGACACGGCCCAGACUCCUACGGGAGGCGGCAGUGGGGAAUCUUAGACAAUGGGGGCAAUCCUGAUCUAGCCAUGCCGCGUGAGUGAUGAAGGCCUUAGGGUUGUAAAGCUCUUUCAGCUGGGAAGAUAAUGACGGUACCAGCAGAAGAAGCCCCGGCUAACUCCGUG